CGGAAUUCAUUCCAGUCACCGUCCUUGAUAUGGAUUGGAUGUCGCUAUAAAGAAACCAAGAAGGUGGCAUUAGAAAUCAAGAAGAAAAUCACAGAGACCCCAGCAUGGAAAUGGGUGCAGCAUGUGAGCUGUGAGUGCCCCAAACACAGAUGGCCCAGGAACUCAGCAAAGGCUUCCACUUCUUGUUUGACCCAAGAAAUGUCAUGCAAAGGAACUCCUGCAAACCUUGCCCAUCUCCACACCUACACCCCAGGGAAGCUGCCACCUGGGCUGGGAUGCCCACUGCCCCAGGCUGAGCAAGGGCACUUCUUUGGGGAGCUAAAAUCCUUCAGCCCCUGGACCAUCACCCUCUUUUCUCAGAGAAAGCCCUCCUCCCAGGCCUGCUCUUUCAUCAGUACUCAGCUCAAGAAGAUGCCAGAGGUCUUCUCCUUUGCAGAGCCUGGAUCCACUUUCUCAAAUCCCCAGGCACCCAGAGGCAAGUAGGGCAGAGACAUCUUUGCUGAAGGCCCUGUGAAGCCCAAGAGCACAAGAGAUUUGCCCUGGCCUGAGGGGGCUCCCAGUACAAAGGACUUUUAGCUUUAAAAAACCAGGAUGGGUCCAGGCAAACCUCACUGUAGUGAGGAUCUCUAUGCUGUCCCUGAUUGGUGAGUCUCUCGUCUAUACAUAGAACCUUACAUUUGGCUUCAUUUGUAGGAGUUUAGUUUGAAACAUUUACUUUACUAUUGAGCACUAACGUUUUCCAAGCAUUUUCUUGCAUACUGGAUCUCGCAGGUUUGCGAUGGACUUUUUCAACUCUGAAAACUUUCUGAUUUAUCCACUGAGUCACAUUCUUGUCACUCUACUGAACAUGUACAGUAUUCCAUGAGGCUGGGAUGAGGUUUUAGCUGCUAUUGAAAAGCCCAUGGCCUGGAAUGACCACACUUCAUUUCUGCAGAGAUGCCUGUGCCAACAGGGCCAAGAGGUCACUGACAGCAGGUAGGAGAUGGAUUUGGAGUUCCUGGGUCUCUCUCUGGUCUUGGUAAUUGUAACUGUACUGGCCUCUCCAACGGUUGUUUUCUUAACUGAAAUUGCCGUAGUUUUUCACUUUGAAACAUCUAGGCUGUAUUCACACACCAAUGUUUAUAGUGGCUGUCUUAUCCCGUUAGGGCUGCUAUAAUAAAAUACCAUACUGAGUGGCUAUUCAGAACAGAAAUUUAUUUCUCACAGUUCUGGAGGAUGGAAGCUCAAGAUCAAGGAACCAGAAGAUUUGGUGUCCGGUGAGGACCCACUUUCUGGUUCAUAGACAGCCAUCUUCUUGCUAUAACCUCACAUCGAAGAAGGGGUAAUGGAGUUUUCUGAGGUGUCUAUUAUAAAGGCCUAAGCUUAUUCAUGAGGGCUCUGCUCUCAUGACCUGAUCACCUCCUAAAGUCCUCACCUACAAAUACCAACACAUUAGGGCUUAGGUUUCAACAUAAGAAUAUUGAGGCAUAGAUAUUCAGUCUGUAGCUGCAGCAUUAUUCACAAUAGCCAAAAGGUAGAAACAACCCAAAUGUCCAUCAGUAGAUAAAUGGAUAAACAAAAUGUGGUGUGUAUAUAAGUGGAAUAUUACUCAACCUUAAAACGAAAGGAAAUUCUGACAUGUGACAAUAUGGAUGAACUUUGAAGACAUUGUGCUAAAUGAAAUCGGUCAAUACAAAAUGACAAAUAUUAUAUGCGUCUAUUUAUUUAUUUAUUUAGUUAGUUAUUUGAGACAGAGUUCUCACUCUGUUGCCCAGGCUAGAGUGCGGUGGCGUGAUCUUGGCUCACUGCAACUUCCACCUUUCAGUCUCAAGCAAUUCUCAUGCUGCAGCCUCCUCCUGAGUAGAUGGGACUACAGGCAUAAGUCACCAUGCCCGGCUAAUUUUUGUAUUUUUAGUAGAGACAGAGUUUCAGCAUGUUGGCCAGGCUGGUCUCAAACUCUUGACUUCAAGUGAUCUGCCUGCCUCAGCCUCCCGAAGUGCUGGGAUUACAGGUGUGAGCCACCACUCUCAGCCUGCUUCCACUUAUAUGAGAUACCUAAAGUAUUUAAAUUCACAGAGCUAGAAAGUAGAGUAGUUGUUACCAGGGGCUGGGGGCUGGGGGAUGAAGAGUUAAUAUUUAAUGGGUACAGAGUUUCAGUUUGGGAAGAUGAAACCAUUCUGGAGGUAGAUGGUGGUGAUGGUUGCACAACAAUGUGAAUGUACUUCAUGCCACUGAAUUGUACACUUAAAAAUGGUUAUGUUACGUAUAUUUUAUCACAUGAAAAAA